rnacentral:misc_RNA from 1 species
GGGGGAGGCGGUAGAUAUUGGUGGUGCAAUUUUUAGGACCAUGUUGAAUUUACUUUCCAACACUCUAAUCUCAAAGGACUUGGCAGAUCCGUAUGAAAAUUCGGGUAAAGAAUUUAAGGAUUUGGUGGAGGGACUAAUGAUAGACAUGGGUAAACCAAAUUGGGUGGACUACUUUCCAGUGCUAAAAUUAUUAGAUCCACAAGGACUAAGGCGAUAUAAUUCUCACUUCGGUAAGCUACUUAAGUUUUUCAAUGGAUUGAUAAAUGAGAGGAUGGAUCUAAGGAAGAUGAAUGGACAAAAGAGUAGUGAUGUUUUAGACACCUUACUCACAGCGACUGAAGAUAAUCCACAAGAUAUUGAUCGCAAGCAUAUAGCUACAAUACUUUUGGACCUA